UACAGAGGGUGCAAGCGUUGUUCGGAAUUAUUGGGCGUAAAGCGCGUGUAGGCGGCUUUGUGUGUCGGGUGUGAAAGCCCUCGCUUAACCGAGGAAGUGCGCCCGAAACUGCAGAGCUUGAGUGCCGGAGAGGAUAGCGGAAUACCCGGUGUAGAGGUGAAAUUCGUAGAUAUCGGGUGGAACACCAGUGGCGAAGGCGGCUAUCUGGACGGACACUGACGCUGAGACGCGAAAGCGUGGGGAGCAAACAGGG
rnacentral:rRNA from 1 species